rnacentral:lncRNA from 1 species
CUUGAAUCAUGUGGUCUUGAUUGGCAGGGUUUGUUGAAGCACGAUAAGAUUGUUGCAGCACAAUAUCCUGGAUAGUACUUGUUGGAGUAGCCUGGCUAGAGAGGUUUGUUGGGGCAUGAGUUUGUUGAGACAGAAUAUCCUUGUUGGCGAUGUUUGUUGUGGCCUGAGUUUGUUGAGGAAGAAUAUCCUUGUUGGCGAGAUUUGUUUGGGC